GACGAACGCUGGCGGCGUGCCUAACACAUGCAAGUCGAACGGUGGAGCGCGUUGCUUUUUGGUGGGAGUGGAUGAGCGGCGAACGGGUGAGUAACACGUGAGUAACCUGCCACCUUCUUCUGGAUAACCGCAUGAAAGUGUGGCUACUACGGGAUAUUCUGGAUCUGUCGCAUGAUGGGUCUGGGAAGGUUUUUGUGUCGGUGGUGGAUGGGCUCGCGGCCUAUCAGCUUGUUGGUGAGGUGAUGGCCUACCAAGGCGGUGACGGGUAGCCGGCCUGAGAGGAUGGACGGUCACACAGCGACUGAGACAUGGCGCAGACUCCUGCGGGAAGCAGCAGGGGGGAAUACUGCACAGUGGAAGGAAGGCUGGUGCAGCGACGCCGGGUGGAGGAUGGACGUCUGCGCGUUGUGAUCCGCUUUCGCGAGAGAAGCAAUGCGGCAUCGUUUGUGCGUGGGUUGACGGUAGCUGGACAGGAAGCGCCGGCUAACUACGUG
rnacentral:rRNA from 1 species